rnacentral:rRNA from 1 species
UACGGAGGGUGCAAGCGUUAUCCGGAUUCACUGGGUUUAAAGGGUGCGUAGGUGGGCAGUUAAGUCAGUGGUGAAAUCUCCGGGCUCAACCCGGAAACUGCCAUUGAUACUAUCUGUCUUGAAUAUCGUGGAGGUAAGCGGAAUAUGUCAUGUAGCGGUGAAAUGCUUAGAUAUGACAUAGAACACCGAUAGCGAAGGCAGCUUGCUACACAAUUAUUGACACUGAGGCUCGAAAGCGUGGGGAUCAAACAGG